GGGAAGGGACGGAAGCGGGGACCUGGAGCGGACACUACGGGUGGGGCGGCGGCUGGGGAAGGGGUGCGCGAGGCUGAGGGCGGGGUCUGGGGACGGGGACCUCCAGCAACCCCGACCAGAUCCCCAGCGUUGGAGCUAGAGGGACCCAGCCGGACAGUGCCGGGCUCGGACUCCCCAGGCCUGGCAUCCCGGGCCUGGCCCAGGCUUGGCUGCCGUCCGGGAGACUUCCUCCCUCCCCGCCGCCUGGAUUCUUGGAUCGGCCGCUCCUCUGGGGCACUGAGAUGGAGGACUCAUGCUUCUGAAGGGGUUUCCAGCUGGAAGAGAAGCCGUAGAGGAUACAGCAGAGAGGAGGCCUUGAUGCCUGGAGGUCUGUGGGGCAGACACAUGCCCACCACGUCCACCAGGGACAAAACUCAAGCAGAUGACCUGACAAGCAGGCAAGAUCUCUUAAGGCAAGAAGACAACACCUGCCGGAAUUAAGACACACCCUAAAGCACAAGUCUCCACCCCUGUGCAAAUAGGAGCAUUUUCCAGAGAGAUGAGAAAGCUUCCAUCGUCAAUGACUGCCAGUGACUCUCAGGGUCUCUGGGGCCAGCUCCCAGCUCUCUGCCCAGCACCAGCAUCUGGAACAAAACCUCCUACACGUUCCUAACCUGUUCCCCACUACAGUCACCAGGUGAGGAGCCAGAGGAUCCAGGUGGAAGCACAAGAUCUGUGACGCAGUAACCGGGUGCCACGAGUGAGCGAUUCCUCUGAGCCUCGGUUUCUUCUAUGAAGAAAGUGUCUACAGCAUCACUACAGAGCAGCUGCGAAACCAAGCAAGACAGUGUGUUUAAAAGUGGUCUGUAGGCGCUUCCCCGGUGGUCUGGUAGUUAAGAAUCCGCCUGCCAGUGCAGGGGACUCAGGUUCAAUCCUGGAAGAUUUCACAUGCCGAGGAGCAACUCCCCGCAACAACUGAGCCCACGUGCCUACUGCCUGUGUUCCACAACAAGGGAAGCCCACGUGUGAUAACAAAGAGUAGCCCCUGCUCGCCACAGCUAGAGAGAGCCCUCAAGCAGUAACAAAGACCCAUCACAGCCAAAAAUAAAUAAACAAACCUUAAGAAAAAAGUGCUCUGUAAACUGAAAAGUACUACAGAGUCAGGAGUGGGAUUAUUACUGUUGUUGUUAUAGCC
ensembl:lncRNA